rnacentral:rRNA from 1 species
GGUUGCGAUCAUACCAUCACUAAAGCACCGGAUCCCAUUAGAACUCCGAAGUUAAGCGUGCUUGGGCGAGAGUAGUACUAGGAUGGGUGACCUCCUGGGAAGUCCUCGUGUUGCAUUCC